GUGAGACAGGUGCUGCAUGGCUGUCGUCAGCUCGUGUUGUGAAAUGUUGGGUUAAGUCCCGCAACGAGCGCAACCCUUAUCCUUUGUUGCCAGCACGUAAUGGUGGGAACUCAAGGGAGACUGCCGGUGACAAACCGGAGGAAGGUGGGGAUGACGUCAAGUCAUCAUGGCCCUUACGAGUAGGGCUACACACGUGCUACAAUGGCAGAUACAAAGUGAAGCGAACUCGCGAGAGCAAGCGGACCACAUAAAGUCUGUCGUAGUCCGGAUUGGAGUCUGCAACUCGACUCCAUGAAGUCGGAAUCGCUAGUAAUCGUAGAUCAGAAUGCUACGGUGAAUACGUUCCCGGGCCUUGUACACACCGCCCGUCACACCAUGGGAGUGGGUUGCAAAAGAAGUAGGUAGCUUAACCUUCGGGAGGGCGCUUACCACUUUGUGAUUCAUGACUGGGGUGAAGUCGUAACAAGGUAACCGUAGGGGAACCUGCGGUUGGAUCACCU
rnacentral:rRNA from 1 species